rnacentral:lncRNA from 1 species
CCCUCUUUCGUCUUCGUCCAUCGGUAACUUUACUUGAUGCUAUAUUUUUAUUCACCACAUGAUAUGUGUUUUGCUUGGAGCGUCUUGUAUGAUUUGAGUGUUUUCUUUUUAGUUUACCACAAUCUUCCUUGCUGAACACACCUUUUGGGAGAGACACACAUGAUUCGGAAUUUAUUAGAAUACUCUAUGUGCUUCACUUAUAUCUUUUGAGCUAGAUAGUUUUGCUCUAGUGCUUCACUUAUGUCUUUUAGAGCACGGCGGUGGUUUUACUUUAUAGAAAUUAUUGAUCUCUCAUUCUUCACUUAUAUUAUUUUGAGAGUUCCUUAGAACAACAUGGUAAUUUUCUUUGGUUAUAAAAUUAGUCCUAAUAUGACAGGCUUCCAAGAUUAGUAUAAUAAAAACUUUCAUCUGAAGUGCAUUGAAUACUAAGAUAAGUUUGAUACUUGAUGAUUGUUUUGAGAUAUGGAGGUAGUGAUAUUAAAGUUGUGCUAGUUGAGUAGUUGUGAAUUUGAGAAAUACUUGUGUUGAAGUUUUCUAGUCCCGUAGCAUGCACGUAUGGUAACCGUUGUGUAACAAAUUUGAAACAUGAGGUGUUCUUCGAUUGUCAUCCUUAUGAGUGGCGGUGGGGGACGAGCGAUGGUCUUUUCCUACCAAUCUGUCCCCCUAGGAGCAUGCGCGUAGUGCUUGGUUUUUGAUGACUUGUAGAUUUUUGCAAUAAGUAUGUGAGUUCUUUAUGACUAAUGUUGAGUCCAUGGAUUAUACGCACUCUCACCCUUCCAUCAUUGCUAGCCUCUUCGGUACCGUGCAUUGCCCUUUCUCACCUUGAGAGUUGGUGCAAACUUCGCCGGUACAUCCAAACCCCGUGAUAUGAUACGCUCUAUCACACAUAAACCUCCUUAUAUCUUCCUCAAAACAUCCACCAUACCUACCUAUUAUGGCAUUUCCAUAGCCAUUCCGAGAUAUAUUGCCAUGCAACUUUUCCACCGUUCCGUUUAUCAUGACACGCUUCAUCAUUGUCAUAUUGCCUUGCAUGAUCAUGUAGUUGACAUCGUAUUUGUGGCAAAGCCACCAUGCAUAUUAUUUCAUACAUGUCACUCUUGAUUCAUUGCCCAUCCCGGUGCACCGCCGGAGGCAUUCAUAUAGAGUCAUACUUUGUUCUAGUAUCGAGUUGUAAUCAUUGAGUUGUAAAUAAAUAGAAGUGUGAUGAUCAUCAUUAAUAGAGCAUUGUCCCAAAUAAAAAAAAGAGAAAGGGCAAAUAAAAAAGGAAGGCCCAAAAAAAGAAAAUAAAAAGGGACAAUGCUACUAUCCUUUUUCCACACUUGCGCUUCAAAGUAGCACCAUGAUCUUUAUGAUAGAGAGUCUCUUGUUUUGUUACUUUCAUAUACUAGUGGGAAUUUUUCAUUAUAGAACUUAGCUUGUAUAUUCCAACAAUGGGCUUCCUCAAAUGCCCUAGGUCUUCGUGAGCAAGCAAGUUGGAUGCACACCCACUUAGUUUCUUUUGUUGAGCUUUCAUACAUUUAUAGCUCUAGUGCAUCCGUUGCAUGGCAAUCCCUACUCCUUGCAUUGACAUCAAUUGAUGGGCAUCUCCCUAGCCCGUUGAUUAGCCGCGUCAAUGUGAGACUUUCUCCUUUUUUUGUCUUCUCCACAUAACCCCCAUCAUCAUACUCUAUUCCACCCAUAGUGCUAUAUCCAUGGCUCACGCUCAUGUAUUGUGUGAAAGUUGAAAAAAGUUUGAGAUUACUAAAGUAUGAAACAAUUGCUUGGCUUGUCAUCGGGGUUGUGCAUGUGAGAGCAUUCUUGUGUGACGAAAAUGGAGCAUGACCAAACUAUAUGAUUUUGUAGGGAUGAACUUUCUUUGGCCAUGUUAUUUGGAGAAGACAUAAUUGCUUAGUUAGUAUGCUUGAAGUAUUAUUAUUUUUAUGUCAAUAUUAAACUUUUAUCUUGAAUCUUUCGGAUCUGAACAUUCAUGCCACAAUAAAGAAAAUUACAUUGAAGAAUAUGCUAGGAAGAAUUCCACAUCAAAAAUUCUAUUUUUAUCAUUUACCUACUCGAGGACGAGCAGGAAUUAAGCUUGGGGAUGCUUGAUACGUCUCCAACGUAUCUAUAAUUUUUGAUUGUUCCAUGCUAUUAUAUAUUCUGUUUUGGAUGUUUAAUGGGCUUUAUUAUACACUUUUAUAUUAUUUUGGGACUAACCUACUAACCCAAGGCCCAGUGCAAAUUGCUGUUUUUUUGCCUAUUUUAGUGUUUCGCAGAAAAGGAAUAUCAAACGGAGUCCAAACGGAACGAAACCUUUGGCAAUGUGAUUUUUGGAACAAACGUGAUCCAGAGGACUUGGAGUGGACGUCCAGAAACAACCGAGGAGGCCACGAGGCAAGGAGGCGCGCCUGCCCCCCUGGGCGUGCCUCCCACCCUCGUGGGCCCCUCGUGGCUCUCCUGACCGACUUCCUUCGCCUAUAUAUAUUCAUAUACCCCGAAAACAUCCAGGAGCACCACGAAACCCUAUUUCCACCAUCGCAACCUUAUGUGUAUCCGUGAGAUCCUAUCUUGGGGCCUUUCCGGCGCUCCGCCGGAGGGGGCAUCGAUCACGGAGGGCUUCUACAUCAACACCAUAGUCUCUCCGAUGAUGUGUGAGUAGUUUACCUCAGACCUUCGGGUCCAUAGUUAUUAGCUAGAUGGCUUCUUCUCUCUCUUUGGAUCUCAAUACAAAGUUCUCCUCGAUCUUCUUGGAGAUCUAUUCGACGUAACUCUUUUUGCGGUGUGUUUGUCGAGAUCCGAUGAAUUGUGGGUUUAUGAUGAAGAUUAUCUAUGAACAAUAUUUGAAUCUCCUCUGAAUUCUUUUAUGUAUGAUUUGAUAUCUUUGCAAGUUUCUUCAAAUUAUCAGUUUGGUUUGGCCUACUAGAUUGAUCUUUCUUGCAAUGGGAGAAGUGCUUAGCUUUGGGUUCAAUCAUGUGGUGCUCGAUUCCAGUGACAGAAGGGGAAAUGACACGUAUUGUAUUGUUGCCAUCGAGGAUAAAAAGAUGGGGUUUAUAUCAUAUUGCUUGAGUUUAUCCCUCUACACCAUGUCAUCUUGCCUAAUGCGUUACUCUGUUCUUAUGAACUUAGUACUCUAGAUGCAUGCUGGAUAGCGGUCGAUGUGUGGAGUAAUAGUAGUAGAUGCAGAAUCGUUUUGGUCUACUUGUCGCGGACGUGAUGCCUAUAUACAUGAUCAUGCCUAGAUAUUCUCAUAACUAUGCUCAAUUCUAUCAAUUGCUCGAUAGUAAUUUGUUCACCUACCGUAAUACUUACACUACAAAAAAAAGACACAUCCGUGACAUUUUGGGCCGAACGAAUUUUUUUCCUGUCAUACAUAUGACACUUCUAUGACGAUAAUUUUGACAAAACCCGGUAUCGUCAUAGAUGUGGUGG